UGAUAUAUGGGCAUAGGCGUGGCUGUGUGGUAAAAAGCUUGCUUCCAAAUUACAUGGUUCUAUGUUCAGUCCCAUACUGUGGUAACUUGGGCAAGUGACUUCUACUAUAGCCUCGGGCCGCCCAAAGCUUUGUGACUGGAUUUAGUAGACGGAAACUGAAAGAAGCCCGUCGUAUAUAUAUAUGUAUGUAUGUAUGUAUGUGU